UACGUAGGGUGCGAGCGUUGUCCGGAAUUAUUGGCGUAAAGGGCUCGUAGGCGGUCUGUCGCGUCGGGAGUGAAAACUCAGGCUUAACCCGUGAGCCUGCUUCCGAUACGGGCAGACUAGAGGUGAUGCAGGGGAGAACGGAAGUUCCUGGUGUAGCGGUGGAAUGCGGCAGAUAAUCAGGAGGAACACCGAUGGCGAAGGCA
rnacentral:rRNA from 1 species